CCCUUAGAUGUUCUGGGCCGCACGCGCGCUACACUGACGAAUGCAACGAGCUUAUAACCUUGGCCGAAAGGUCCGGGUAAUCUCUGAAACUUCAUCGUGAUGGGGAUAGAUCAUUGCAAUUAUUGAUCUUCAACGAGGAAUUCCUAGUAAGCGCAAGUCAUCAGCUUGCGUUGAUUACGUCCCUGCCCUUUGUACACACCGCCCGUCGCUUGUACCGAUUGGAUGGUCCGGUGAAAUCUUCGGAUAGCUGGUAGUUGGCUUGCCAUCUACUGCUAAAAGUUGCUUAAACCUUAUCAUCUAGAGGAACAAGAAGUCGUAACA
rnacentral:rRNA from 1 species